rnacentral:ribozyme from 1 species
GCACUGCACAAAAAUCGCCCGACAUCGCGUCGUGCCGUUGUUCUCACCACACCGGCCGUUCGCUUCAUCGGCACCAGCGAACUACCUGGCGACGUAUUGUCUAGC